GAUUAACGCUGGCGGCGUGCAUAACACAUGCAAGUCGAACGAUGAAACUUAACUGAUUUCUUCGGAAUGAUUUUAAGUGGCUUAGUGGCGGACGGGUGAGUAACGCGUGAGUAACCUGCCUUGGAGAAGGGGAUAGCCUUUGGAAACGAAGAAUAAUACCCUAUGAUAUGAUAAUAUCUCAUGAUAUUAUCAUCAAAGAUUUAUCGCUCUAAGAUGGACUUGCGUCUGAUUAGUUAGUUGGUGAGGUAACAGCUCACCAAGGCAGCGAUCAGUAGCCGGCUUGAGAGAGUGUACGGCCACAUUGGGACUGAGACACGGCCCAGACUCCUACGGGAGGCAGCAGUGGGGAAUUUUACACAAUGGGGGAAACCCUGAUGCAGCGACGCCGCGUGAUUUAGAAGGCCUUCGGGUUGUAAAAAUCUUUUGUAUGGGAAGAAAAUGACAGUACCAUACGAAUAAGGACCGGCUAAUUACGUG
rnacentral:rRNA from 1 species